GGAAGAAAGCUUGCUUUCUUUGCUGGCGACCGGCGCACGGGUGAGUAACACGUAUCCAACCUGCCCUUUACUCGGGGAUAGCCUUUCGAAAGAAAGAUUAAUACCCGAUGGCAUAAUGAUUCCGCAUGGUUUCAUUAUUAAAGGAUUCCGGUAAAGGAUGGGGAUGCGUUCCAUUAGGUUGUUGGUGAGGUAACGGCUCACCAAGCCUUCGAUGGAUAGGGGUUCUGAGAGGAAGGUCCCCCACAUUGGAACUGAGACACGGUCCAAACUCCUACGGGA
rnacentral:rRNA from 1 species